rnacentral:rRNA from 1 species
AGCGAACGCUGGCGGCAGGCCUAACACAUGCAAGUCGAACGAAGUCUUCGGACUUAGUGGCGGACGGGUGAGUAACACGUGGGAACGUGCCUUUAGGUUCGGAAUAACUCAGGGAAACUUGUGCUAAUACCGAAUGCGCCCUUCGGGGGAAAGAUUUAUCGCCUUUAGAGCGGCCCGCGUCUGAUUAGCUAGUUGGUGAGGUAAAGGCUCACCAAGGCGACGAUCAGUAGCCGGUCUGAGAGGAUGAUCAGCCACAUUGGGACUGAGACACGGCCCAAACUCCUACGGGAGGCAGCAGUGGGGAAUCUUGCGCAAUGGGCGAAAGCCUGACGCAGCCAUGCCGCGUGAAUGAUGAAGGUCUUAGGAUUGUAAAAUUCUUUCACCGGGGACGAUAAUGACGGUACCCGGAGAAGAAGCCCCGGCUAACUUCGUGCCAGCCGCCGCGGUAAAAC